CCUACGGGCGGCAGCAGUGAGGAAUAUUGGUCAAUGGCCGAGAGCCUGAACCAGCCAAGUCGCGUGAAGGAAGACGGCCCUACGGGUUGUAAACCUCUUUUAUCAGGGAACAAAGCGAGGCACGUGUGCCUCAUUGAACGUACCCUAUGAAUAAGGAUCGGCUAACUCCGUGCCAGCAGCCGCGGUAAUACGGAGGGUUCGAGCGUUAUCCGGAUUUAUUGGGUUUAAAGGGUGCGUCGGGGGGAUGUGAAGUCAGCUGUCAAAGUUUGGGGCUCAACCUCCGAAUUGCAGUUGAUACUGGAUGCCUUGAGUGCGGGAGAGGUAGGCGGAAUGCGUGGUGUAGCGGUGAAAUGCUUAGAUAUCACGAAGAACUCCGAUGGCGAAGGCAGCAUACUGGACUGCAACUGACGCUGAUGCACGAAAGUGUGGGUAUCGAACAGGAUUAGAUACCCGAGUAGUC
rnacentral:rRNA from 1 species